rnacentral:rRNA from 1 species
AAGGUGGGGAUGACGUCAAGUCAUCCAUGGCCCUUACGGCCUGGGCUACACACGUGCUACAAUGGUCGGUACAAAGGGUUGCCAAGCCGCGAGGUGGAGCUAAUCCCAUAAAACCGAUCGUAGUCCGGAUCGCAGUCUGCAACUCGACUGCGUGAAGUCGGAAUCGCUAGUAAUCGUGAAUCAGAAUGUCACGGUGAAUACGUUCCCGGGCCUU